CCUACGGGUGGCAGCAGUAGGGAAUUUUCCGCAAUGGGCGAAAGCCUGACGGAGCAACGCCGCGUGAGUGAGGACGGCCUUCGGGUUGUAAAACUCUGUUCUUGAGGAAGAAUUCCGGUCAGGUGAACAGUCUGACUGGUUGACGGUACUCAAGGAGAAAGCCCCGGCUAACUACGUGCCAGCAGCCGCGGUAAUACGUAGGGGGCAAGCGUUAUCCGGAAUUAUUGGGCGUAAAGCGCGCGCAGGCGGCCGGUUAAGUCAGGUGUGAAAGGCUGCGGCUCAACCGCAGAGCUGCAUCUGAAACUGGUCGGCUUGAGUGCAGGAGAGGGGAGCGGAAUUCCCGGUGUAGCGGUGGAAUGCGUAGAGAUCGGGAGGAACACCAGUGGCGAAGGCGGCUCUCUGGCCUGUAACUGACGCUGAGGCGCGAAAGCG
rnacentral:rRNA from 1 species